rnacentral:rRNA from 1 species
AUUGAACGCUGGCGGCAGGCUUAACACAUGCAAGUCGAGCGGCAGCGGGAAAGUAGCUUGCUACUUUUGCCGGCGAGCGGCGGACGGGUGAGUAAUGCCUGGGAAAUUGCCCAGUCGAGGGGGAUAACAGUUGGAAACGACUGCUAAUACCGCAUACGCCCUACGGGGGAAAGCAGGGGACCUUCGGGCCUUGCGCGAUUGGAUAUGCCCAGGUGGGAUUAGCUAGUUGGUGAGGUAAUGGCUCACCAAGGCGACGAUCCCUAGCUGGUCUGAGAGGAUGAGCAGCCACACUGGAACUGAGACACGGUCCAGACUCCUACGGGAGGCAGCAGUGGGGAAUAUUGCACAAUGGGGGAAACCCUGAUGCAGCCAUGCCGCGUGUGUGAAGAAGGCCUUCGGGUUGUAAAGCACUUUCAGCGAGGAGGAAAGGUCAGUAGCUAAUAUCUGCUGACUGUGACGUUACUCGCAGAAGAAGCACCGGCUAACUCCGUGCCAGCCGCCGCCGUAAAAC